CGACUCUCGGCAACGGAUAUCUCGGCUCACGCAUCGAUGAAGAACGUAGCAAAAUGCGAUACUUGGUGUGAAUUGCAGAAUCCCGUGAACCAUCGAGUUUUUGAACGCAAGUUGCGCCCGAAGCCAUUUGGUCGAGGGCACGUCUGCCUGGGCGUCACAC
rnacentral:rRNA from 1 species